rnacentral:misc_RNA from 1 species
GUGAAGAACGCAGCGAAAUGCGAUAAGUAAUGUGAAUUGCAGAAUUCAGUGAAUCAUCGAAUCUUUGAACGCACAUUGCGCCCGCCAGUAUUCUGGCGGGCAUGCCUGUUCGAGCGUCAUUUCAACCAUCAAGCCCUGCUUGCGUUGGGGUCCUGCGGCUGCCCGCAGGCCCUGAAAACCAGUGGCGGGCUCGCUAGUCACACCGAGCGCAGUAAUACAUCUCGCUUUGGGCGUGCGGCGGGUUCUUGCCGUUAAACACCCCCUUUUUACCAAGGUUGACCUCGGAUCAGGUAGGAAUACCCGCUGAACUUAAGCAUAUCAAUAAGCGGAGGA